GAUGAAGAACGCAGCGAAAUGCGAUACUUGGUGUGAAUUGCAGAAUCCCGUGAACCAUCGAGUCUUUGAACGCAAGUUGCGCCCGAAGCCAUUAGGCCGAGGGCACGCCUGCCUGGGCGUCACAUGUCGUUGCCCCCCCCAUCUACUCCUUCGGGAUUGCGGGGGGCGGAUGAUGGCCUCCCGUGCGCCUCGCCGCGCGGUUGGCAUAAAUGCCAAGUCCUCGGCGACGCACGCCACGACAAUCGGUGGUUGCGAAACCUCGGUUGCCCGUCGUGUGCGGUCGUCGCGCAUCGAGGGCUCGAAAAAAUUGCCGAGUUCCGGCUCGGCUUUCAACGCGACCCCAGGUCAGGCGGGUUUACCCGCUGAAUUUAAGCAUAUCAAUAAGCGGAGGA
rnacentral:misc_RNA from 1 species